rnacentral:rRNA from 1 species
CCUACGGUUGGCAGCAGUGGGGGAUAUUGGACAAUGGGGGGAACCCUGAUCCAGCGAUGCCGCGUGAGUGAAGAAGUAUCUCGGGAUGUAAAGCUCUAUCAGCAGGGAAGAAGAAAUGACGGUACCUGAGUAAGAAGCUCCGGCUAACUACGUGCCAGCAGCCGCGGUAAUACGUAGGGGGCAAGCGUUAUCCGGAAUUACUGGGGGUAAAGGGAACGUAGUCGGUGAGGUAAGUCUGGGGUGAAAGGCGGGGGCCCAACCCCCGGACUGCUCUGGAAACUAUGUGACUGGAGUGCAGGAGAGGGGGGCGGAAUUCCUGGUGUAGCGGUGAAAUGCGUAGAGAUUAGGAGGAAUACCAGUGGCGAAGGCGGCUCACUGGACUGUAACUGACGUUGAGGCGCGAAAGCGUGGGGAGCAAACAGGAUUAGAUACCCCGGUAGUC